rnacentral:rRNA from 1 species
GGUCGAGAAUAAUCUCGGGAAACUGAGGCUAAUGAGCGAUAGGUUAAGAUUCCUGGAAUGGGUUUUGGUCUAAACGGCGUGACAGCAUCUUGUCAUGUCCGCCCGAGGAUGGGACUGCGGCCGAUCAGGCUGUUGGUGGGGUAAAGGCCCACCAAACCAGUAACCGGUACGGGCUUUGAGAGAAGGAGCCCGGAGAUGGACACUGAGACAAGGGUCCAGGUCCUACGGGGCGCAGCAGGCGCGAAACCUUCGCAAUGCGCGCAAGCGCGACGAGGUUAUUCCGAGUGAUUUCCGCUGAGGAAAUCUUUUCUCAGAUCUAAAACGUCUGGGGAAUAAGGGGAGGGCAAGUCUGGUGUCAGCCGCCGCGGUAAUACCAGCUCCUCGAGUGGUCAGGGCGUUUAUUGGGCCAAAAGCAUCCGUAGCCUGCUUGGUAGGUCUCCUGUUAAAUCCAACGGCUCAACCGUUGGUCUGCAGGAAUAUAUCGCUAGGAUAGGAGGAGAGAGAAGCGGAAUGUUCUUUUAAGGGUAUAGUUAAAAUCUAU